UAUAGCUAGUUUCUGAUGUGUAAAUUAUUAAAAGCUUAAAAUGUUAUAAGGCUUAAAAUGUUCUAGUUGCAGGGUACCUGAUUGCUUAUAUUAUCUUAUAUUUUUUUCGGCUGUACACUACUUGACCCCUGAGAUUAAAUUUGCGAUUAGAUUGGACUCCUUACUAUUUGCCAGCUCAGCAUGAUGAUUCACUUUCCGCGCAAGGUCAACGUAGUAAGUUUAACGCAAAAUCAAACUUAUGGCAGCCCCUGAAAACUCAUCCAACUAGAACCCAACCCUUAGCGAUUAGAAUUCGACUUGCCAAACAAAUAAUACGGAUUUGUUACUAUGGCUUAAAAAGUUAUAUCCGCAUUUAUAACCGUGCAUUUCCAUAUAAUUAUUUAUAUGGCCAGCUUUAACUUUACGAGGUCUUCAAGUUUUCUGUUUGGUUUUUUCUGCUGCAUUGUAAUAUUUAUAUUAAAUCAUAAAAUAACAGGUUAUCUAAAAUUAAAACAUUAUGUUAUUUGCAUAUACUUCACAGAUAUUUCAAAGAAAUUAUUAAUUCUACACUUAAAAUACAUACUAGGACACUAGUGUAUUUCUUAAGGGUUAACUAUAUUAAAAAAAUGAUUAAACUGAUAGAAUGUUUUGGAUUGUAAUCGGUUUAACAAAAAUUUAAAUAGUUUUCUUUUACUACAUAUAAUUUCGAAAUGAAUAUAUAAUUUGUUUUCCGUUCAUAUGUAAUUAUUAUUAGUUAUUAGCAUUUUACUUUUCGCAAUCUCGUUAACAGUGGGUAAGCAUUAUUCAACAAAGUUUUCUAAAUAAAUUGAAUAACAGGAAUUUUAAAGGGAACAUAUGGAGAACAUAGAACAUCCCAAUAACUAUUCCGAAUGUACGCAAUAUAAAAUGGUGUAAAUAGUAAACUUUAAAAAACUAUUUUAUAUACGUAUAAUAUUAUAUUUCUAACAAAAAGCGGUGUUUUUAAAGUUAAUUACUGAGAAAAAGUAAUUACCUUAAUACAAUGUGUAAUUUACGUAAAAAUGCACUAUUUUUUGCCAAGGGUAGCAUCUUCCUUUCCGGCCACUCGUACUUGGACACCAUACAGUUAUAGUAUGCUGCAUUCAUUCCGGUUCUCCGCCGAUCCGGUCCACCUUCCACUCCCCAGCGGGAGGGGGGAUUAAAGGAGGCAUCGCGCAAUCCAAUGAAACAAAACAAUUCCGAAUAGAACAAGCUUUGGGCGUUGCAUGAAUGCAUUCAAUAGAUAAACAAGAUUCGUGACAAUUCGCCACUCGGCGUGUGUAUCUAUGCGGCUAAAGUUCUACGAGUGCACUUGUAGUUGUGGAUGCGGCUGGCUAAUCGAAUAAAUUUGCUCGCAUUACCGGACCGGUUGACUAGCUUAUUGUUUCACCCCGACGCUUGCAUAAAUAUGACGCCUUGGCGGUUCAUCUAAAGCUUUCGCAUAGCACUGCAUUUAUCACCAUCACCAUCUCCGGAAUGAUCCAAAUUUUGAUACGUGCCUAUCGCAACCCUGUCGUGGGUCGGGGUCACCUCAGUUAACUGGCUACAGCGACUAGUCGCAAUGGUGUGCGUCCACCGAUCGAACCUGCUCAACGUCUGGCUAUUUAUCGGGGUCACCAGUUCAAGUGUGAUUUAUAAUAAGUGUAUAAGCUAAAUAAUUAGCUACUAUAAUGACAACUCUUAUAUAUUAGUUGUCAAUAAAAAGGUUAUGGCAACGU